GACGAACGCUGGCGGCGUGGAUUAGGCAUGCAAGUCGAACGGUAUCAUCCUUUCGGGGGGUGAGAGAGUGGCGAACUGGUGAGUAACACGUAGGUUAUCUACCCUCAAGACGGGGACAACCCAGGGAAACUUGGGCUAAUACCGGAUGUGAGCAACUUUUAGUUGUUUGAAAGGUGGCGUAAGCUGUCGCUUGGGGAUGAGCCUGCGUCCUAUUAGUUAGUUGGUGAGGUAAAGGCUCACCAAGGCGACGAUCUGUAGCGGGUCUGAGAGGAUGAUCCGCCACACUGGAACUGAGACACGGUCCAGACUCCUACGGGAGGCAGCAGUGGGGAAUAGUCUACAAUGGUCGGAAGACUGAUAGUGCGACGCCGCGUGAACGAUGAACUCCCUUCGGGGUGUAAAGUUCUUUUAUAUGUGAGCAGUGACAUCUAUAUUAAUAGUAUGGGUUAGAGAUAUUAGCAUAUGAAAUAAGCAACGGCUAACUCCGUGCCAGCACG
rnacentral:rRNA from 1 species